CGCGGGAGGAGCUGCGAGGCGCCUGUGGACCCUCUCGGCCCUUUGAACCUCGCCUCCGUGGGCGGAGCGGCCCACCCGGAUGGAGUCUCAGCUGAAACAACCUGAGGCUGCAACUCAGAGGACAGCUUUCUGUCCCCUCCGGCAGAUGCCUCGGCGUAGGCCAAAACAAUGGAGAGAAAGGGGUAGUCGGGCAGAACGACUUGAUGCCCAGGUGUGAUGGCGUGUUGGACCUGAAAGGCCCUUGAGAGAGAGUACUCUAAAACAACGAAAAGCUUUAAGGAAAAGAUCUAAAAGAAGCACACGAAAACACAAUAGUACCAAUAGGCUGACUGGGCACAGGCCCUUACCUACUGCUUCCACCGGGGUCCGAGCCAGUGCUCCCAGCUCAUGAUGUGCACCCAGAUGCUGCCCAGGGCUUCAUGGUCACAGCCAUCUUGGUGGGUCUGGCAGUAUCCGCUCUGAAGUCUAGACCCUGAGCCCAUAGCCUGACCUUGAAAGCUCCCUGGAGAUCAUUCCCAGCCCCAGGAGCAACCACCGAUCCUGCCACUGAACUUAUUCCCUCAUCUCCCCUGACAAGCCCCUGUGCCAGUCGGGGAGGAAAUGGCCAAUUGAGUAACUGACAGAUUUUUUUAAGGAAUCUGUGGUUCAGUUCCAUUUGGGUGUUGCAUACAUCUAUGUCUGCUGCACUUUAUCCACGCUCUACUUAAUAAACUCUAAACCAUUUGUAGUUACAUGAAUUCAUUCUCGGGCUCACCCUCAAGGUUUUUGGUCUUUGGUUUUAAGAGAAUCAAACUAAAGGGGCCCUUAGAAAUCAUAUGAUCUCUUGAUUCACAAACUUUCCAUCUGCUGGAAAAUAGAUUCCCUAGAGUGAUAUUGGGGGAGGUUGUUGAGGGGGUGCUUUCCAACAAUUUUCCAACUUGUAGUAGAAGAGCCUGCCUUCAGAUGAGGCUUGCUGUGGUCUUGUCAGAGGC